GCCGAGGUAGCUCAACGGCAGAGCAAUCGCUUCGUAAGCGAUAGGUUGGAGGUUCAAAUCCUCUCCUCGGCU
rnacentral:tRNA from 2 species